rnacentral:rRNA from 1 species
ACAUGCCUACAACAUAAUGUUAAUGCAUCGGAUCCCAUUAGAACUCCGCAGUUAAGUGCGCUUGGGCUAGAGUAGUACUGGGAUGGGUGACCACCGGGGAAGUCCUAAUAUUUUACAUGCC